rnacentral:rRNA from 1 species
GGUGAGUAACACGUGGAUAACCUACCUAUAAGACUGGGAUAACUUCGGGAAACCGGAGCUAAUACCGGAUAAUAUUUUGAACCGCAUGGUUCAAAAGUGAAAGACGGUCUUGCUGUCACUUAUAGAUGGAUCCGCGCUGCAUUAGCUAGUUGGUAAGGUAACGGCUUACCAAGGCAACAUGCAUAGCCGACCUGAGAGGGUGAUCGGCCACACUGGAACUGAGACACGGUCCAG